rnacentral:rRNA from 1 species
CUCCGCUCCAUCACAUGGUGGGGUGGGAAAUGCUUUUGCGGCAUGGGAUGGGGUCGCGUCCUAUCAGCUUGUUGGCGGGGUGAUGGCCCACCAAGGCGUUGACGGGUAGCCGGCCUGAGAGGGUGACCGGCCACAUUGGGACUGAGAUACGGCCCAGACUCCUACGGGAGGCAGCAGUGGGGAAUAUUGCACAAUGGGCGCAAGCCUGAUGCAGCGACGCCGCGUGCGGGAUGGAGGCCUUCGGGUUGUAAACCGCUUUUGUUCAAGGGCAAGGCACGGUUUCGGCCGUGUUGAGUGGAUUGUUCGAAUAAGCACCGGCUAACUACGUGCCAGCAGCCGCGGUAAUACGUAGGGUGCGAGCGUUAUCCGGAUUUAUUGGGCGUAAAGGGCUCGUAGGCGGUUCGUCGCGUCCGGUGUGAAAGUCCAUCGCCUAACGGUGGAUCUGCGCCGGGUACGGGCGGG